AAGAUCAUCAAGGAGACAGGAAUUAAACAAUUUAGCUUCAUUUAAUAUUAAUUGCUUAUUUCAUAUUUCAAUAAUACCGGCCAGUACUAAUGCACCGGAUUAUCUGUCACCGCAAAAAUAUUUUUUAACUACAAACACCAAUACACCAUAAAUCCAUGUGAUGAAUGUAACAAAAAAGGAAAAGUCAUAAUUCUUAUAUUGAUAUAAUAUCACAUAUCUAAUAACUAGAUAACAAAACUUAUAUCCUCAGCUACUUUCACAAAACUGACCCUUUAGCAGCAUCAUAGGAGUCUCUUUGCUUGCAGUCCAAGGCAUUUGAUGUUGAUUUACCAUGCACCAGAAGUAGCUACCU
rnacentral:lncRNA from 1 species